rnacentral:rRNA from 1 species
CAGUAGCCGCGGUAAUACGUAGGUGGCAAGCGUUGUCCGGAAUUAUUGGGCGUAAAGGGCUCGCAGGCGGUUUCUUAAGUCUGAUGUGAAAGCCCCCGGCUCAACCGGGGAGGGUCAUUGGAAACUGGGAAACUUGAGUGCAGAAGAGGAGAGUGGAAUUCCACGUGUAGCGGUGAAAUGCGUAGAGAUGUGGAGGAACACCAGUGGCGAAGGCGACUCUCUGGUCUGUAACUGACGCUGAGGAGCGAAAGCGUGGGGAGCGAACAGGAUUAGAUACCCCGGUAGUCCCUGUCUCUUAUAA